AUUGAACGCUGGCGGCAGGCCUAACACAUGCAAGUCGAGCGGAGCGGCGGACGGGUGAGUAAUACCUAGGAAUCUGCCUGAUAGUGGGGGAUAACGUUCGGGAACGGACGCUAAUACCGCAUACUAUCAGAUGAGCAUAGGUGGGAUUAGGUAGUUGGUGGGGUAAUGGCUCACCAAGGCUACGAUGCCGAACCGGUCUGAGAGGAUGAUCAGUCACAAGGGGAAUGAGACACGGGCCAGACCCCUACGGGAGGGAGCAGUUGGGAAUAUUGGGCAAUGGGCGAAAGCCUGAUCCAGCCAUGCCGCGUGUGUGAAGAAGGUCUUCGGAUUGUAAAGCACUUUAAGUUGGGAGGCGUUACCGACAGAAUAAGCACCGGCUAACUCUGUGCCAGCAGCCGCGGUAAUAC
rnacentral:rRNA from 1 species